UUGGCAUCGGGUCUUCAUUCCCCCAAUGACUUCGUUGCCAGCCUUCUCAUAAGGACUCACUUCAUGUUCAAAGAUUACAGUGAUGGUCUGAAAUCUUCUUGUACCAGACACAUAUCUGGUUGCCUUCUGUUCCAUCAUUUAGAAUUAACACCAACACAGAGGUUGCUCUUCAGCCAGUCACAGAAGAGGUGGUGGUCCCAUCCACCAAUUGGGUGACAGAUGAGAAGGAAGUGUUGGAACACAAUGGGACAGAACGAUCCGUGAGUCCACCGGGAAGAGACGAAGAAGGUUUUCCAGAAUUGGCUGUUUGUCAUUUGGAAGAAGAGGAGGAAGAGGAGGACAUGUUGAAGAGAAUGAAGAACAGGAGAUAAUAGAGAAUGGAAAAGAAGUACGGCAAGCCUACUCAACAGACUCAUGUUGGCUCACAGAAGAUGUGUAGAUGGAACAAAGCCUCAAAAAAUUUGACAUUUCACACAGACAGGGGUCCUUUGUGAUCAUCUGUCAAUGUUUUUUCAGAUUUCCCUGGAUAGAGAGAUGUAUUAGAGCUCUCUGACUACCAAGCAGAUCCGUUUCUAACAUCCUCAACCCCCCACACACCCCAAUUAGCUGCAUCUCAGUAACUGUAAUUCUGCUCUGGACUAGAGCCCAUGAUUGAAGUUAAUCAAGUUGAUCAUCUCCUAACAAGGUCUGGGUAGAUUAGAUGGUAAGUGAACAAUCAGGACAAGAGUAACUAUAAUUGAAAAUGUUCGAACCUGACCAUUAGCUUUUCUUGCAGAGGACGAAUCAGAGAUCUCCUUUCAACCAGGUGACAUCAUACAUGCCGUGGAGACGGUGGACAA